rnacentral:rRNA from 1 species
GACGAAGGGGGCUAGCGUUGUUCGGAAUUACUGGGCGUAAAGCGCGUGUAGGCGGUUGCCCAAGUCGGGUGUGAAAGCCUUGAGCUCAACUCAAGAAAUGCACUCGGUACUGGGUGACUAGAGGACCGGAAAGGAUAGUGGAAUUCCCAGUGUAGUGGUGAAAUACGUAGAGAUUGGGAAGAACACCAGUGGCGAAGGCGGCUAUCUGGACGGUUUCUGACGCUAAGACGCGAAAGCGUGGGGAGCAAACAGG